CGUGUAGGCGGCUUGCCGAGUCAGGCGUGAAAGCCCCGGGCUUAACCUGGGAACUGCGUUUGAUACGGGCAGGCUAGAGGUUGGAAGAGGAGAGUGGAAUUCCCAGUGUAGAGGUGAAAUUCGUAGAUAUUGGGAAGAACACCAGUGGCGAAGGCGGCUCUCUGGUCCACACCUGACGCUGAGGCGCGAAAGCGUGGGGAGCAAACAGGAUUAGAUACCCUGGUAGUCC
rnacentral:rRNA from 1 species